rnacentral:rRNA from 1 species
GAGAGAGGGAGCCUGAGAAAUGGCUACCACAUCCAAGGAUGGCAGCAGGCGCGCAAAUUACCCACUCCCAGCUUGGGGAGGUAGUGACGAAAAAUAACAAUGCGGGACUCUAAGAGGCCCCGUAAUUGGAAUGAGUACACCUUAAAUCGUUUAACGAGUAUCAAUUGGAGGGCAAGUCUGGUGCCAGCAGCCGCGGUAAUUCCAGCUCCAAUAGCGUAUAUUAAAGUUGCUGCAGUUAAAAAGCUCGUAGUUGGAUCUGGGGCUUGAGGUCGCUGUCUAUCGUUUCGGCGAUGACGGUGAUGCUCAGCUCUGCUUGCCGGUGACUGUUGCGGUGUUCUUCACUGAGCGCUGUAGCAGCACGGCACGUUUACUUUGAAAAAAUUAGAGUGCUCAAAGCGUGCUUGUCGCUUGAAUAAUGUUGCAUGGAAUAAUGGAAUAGGACCUCGGUUCUAUUUUGUUGGUUUUCGGAGCUUGAGGUAAUGAUUAAGAGGGACGAACGGGGGCAUUCGUAUUGCGGUGUUAGAGGUGAAAUUCUUGGAUCGCCGCAAGACGGACUACUGCGAAAGCAUUUGCCAAGAACGCUUUCAUUAAUUAAGAUCGAAAGUCAGAGGUUCGAAGACGAUCAGACACCGUCCUAGUUCUGACCAUAAACGAUGCCGACCAGCGAUCCGUAGUGGUUGCUUUAUGGACCCUACGGGCAGCCUCCGGGAAACCAAAGUAUUUGGGUUCCGGGGGAAGUAUGGUUGCAAGGCUGAAACUUAAAGGAAUUGACGGAAGGGCACACCAGGAGUGGAGCCUGCGGCUUAAUUUGACCCAACACGGGAAAACUCACCCGGUCCGGACACCGUAAGGAUUGACAGACUGAUAGCUCUUUCUUGAUUCGGUGGAUGGUGGUGCAUGGCCGUUCUUAGUUGGUGGAGUGAUUUGUCUGGUUAAUUCCGAUAACGAACGAGACUCUAGCCUGCUAAGUAGUGUUGCUAUUGUUAUAUGGUUGACACUUCUUAGAGGGACAAGUGGCAUUUAGCCACGCGAAAUUGAGCAAUAGCAGGUCUGUGAUGCCCUUAGAUGUCCGGGGCCGCACGCGCGCUACACUGGAGAAGUCAGCGUGUGUUAUCCAAGUCCGAAAGGACUGGGUAAUCCGUUGAACCUUCUUCGUGCUUGGGACUGUGGCUUGGAACUAUUCCACAUGAACGAGGAAUUCCUAGUAAUUGCAAGUCAUAAGCUUGCGUUGAUUACGUCCCUGCCCUUUGUACACACCGCCCGUCGCUACUACCGAUUGAAUGGUUUAGCAAGGUCCUCGGAUCGUGGCCGUAGGGGCACGCAAGUGUUUCUGCGGUUUGCGAGAAGACGACCAAACUUGAUCAUUUAGAGGAAGUAAAAGUCGUAACAAGGUU